ACAUAUACAACUAUCUUCUUAAAAUUAAAACCGACCAAAGCACUCGCACAAGUUCAACUCGUAACAAGAAUUUACCGUAUCUCCACACAAAGAUUGACAAGACAUGAAACAGCAACAUUACUAUUUCUUCAGAUUGAAAUAAUCUAACAGAACUGUUUCACCGAGCAGCAGACCUUACAUUAACCGAGACAGUUAACUAGAGGUUACAGCUAAAUCUUGGAACUAGCAGGAAACCAUCUAGGAGGAACACAUGAACAGUCUACGAGGAAGUGAACUUGGUGACGGCCUUGGUGCCCUCAGAGACGGCGUGCUUGGCGAGCUCGCCGGGGAGGAC